UUCAGUUGCGCAGCGGUCAGACCAGCCACCAGGCAACUGAUGACAUCCCUGCCCUUCUCCUUGACCAUUUCCACCAUUCUAGGGAAGACACAGGGGUACCGGAAAUGUGUCAAAUGUUUGAGCAGGGUGUCUGCCAGUUCUGGGUAAGUUUUUGCAUCCUUGAGAACCGGCCUAUUCUCCUCCUGUCCCUUCAACAAGCUCCAGGGGAUGGCAUGGUUGGUCUGAAAGAUAUCCUUCAGGGUAACCGUCACCAUCUCACUGCCCAGGUCUGUGUCUGAGGCAUUGAGGACACAGGUCAGCGGGAAGAGCCUCGCCACUCUCCACUGCUGAGUAGUUACUCCCGUCCAGUUGUCGAGGGGGGCAGUACCUCACCUGCACUGGCAGAGGACCAGGGUGCCAGUGCCAGGAAAUUCCGCCGCCUGGUCCUGCUGUUAAUGUUGGUGGAGCUGGUGCCCAGAGUCACGCUGUAGGCUCGAUCAAGCCCACUCCGUGGUUGGCCGUGGAAGUGCUCUUCCAGGGCCAGUUCGAGCUGGAAGGCCUCCCAACUCUCCUCAUAGCCCCCCCAUGAGCCGAUGUGGUCAACAGCUCUCCCAACCUGUCCACAAUGUGGUCCACCACCGCAAAAUGGAGGUUCCGAAUGCCAUCUCCCUCCACUGACUUGAAUGGAAGGAGCAUGGCCUCUUGGCUGAGCAGAUCCAAGAGGGCCUUCUCCUCCAUCAAGGUGAAGCUCGACAGAGUGUGAGGGAUGUCCUGGGUGAAGAGCAGAACCCCUUCCACGCGAGCUGGGAGGUGGAAAAUACCUUUAACACUCAGGUCCCUAAAGUGCUGAAGGUAUUCCCUUGCCCUUUUGUCCAUAGCCUUUGUCGAGUUUUUGUGGAGAAGUCCACAGCAGGCUAUAACUCCACUAAUGGGGUGCUUGUAAAACGGGAACUGGGGUCUGUGUGGGCAGUCACAAUAAAGUUGGAGGAAGUUCAGUGUCGGACUAACAUUCCCAACUUUGAACAAAGACCACAGUUUUUGGUUUACAUCCAUGGGCCUCCCGUCCAAAUUUGAUUGGUAGUUAGCCGCCUCGUGGAUGGACAGGUUGCUGAACACAUUUCCCCUUGAACCCGCCAGCUUAUUAAUCCCCCAUCUGGACCACAUCAGGUCCACAUCUGGGUCAACAUGCCGGAUGGAACAUGCUGCAUGAACAGUACAGGACCUGAUGUGGUCCAUGGAGGAGAGGAUGUCCAGGAGCAUGAUGGGCUUUGACUCCUGCCCACCAAGCUGUCCCACUGUCCUCAGAACAGCCACCCCAUUUGGCAGCUCAAGGGAGUCAAUGGCUGUGUCUAUUAAAGCCAGGAACAUUGACUGGUCAUCCCGAAAGAGCCUGAACUUUGCAAGUUCAAAUAUGUUAUUUUUUUGGAUUGACAAGCGUGUCAUCUCCAUCGGACCAAGAUUUAUAAGUUGGCUGACCACUGCCCUGGCUACGUCUGCUGCCACAUCCUCGGUCAGGUUUUUAGCAGCCGCCUCCGAUAUGAGUAUGUUGCUGGGAAUAACCUUGUCAGCUGGGACAAGGGAAAGGAUCAUGACCCAGCCCCCUUCGGCUGUGCCCAGGUUGACCCCAUACACCCGCCUCCACUCUUUCAUCACCUCAGCUGACAUCUCCCUGAGGGGAAGAUGUUUUUUUAAAAAAGGCCACUGUGCCUUAGCUGGAAAGCUGUGGUGAGAAGUUGGUAAGUAAAUGUAGGGCAUGGGUGCCUUUAAAGCGGCAAAUGUGGUUACCUCUAAAAUUACCCCAUCAAUAUCCCAAGAGAGAUGCAGGGAGGUUGGAUCUGGGUGGAAGGCAGCGUGGACUGGCAUGUAGAACUCUUCCUCAGUCCUGAGGAAGCGCUCAACAUCGUAAUUGAAAGGCAGGGCUGCGUCAAUGACGGCCUGACUGUUUUCUGUGGCAAUGUCAUCAAAUUCCAUCUUUAGAAAAACAAAUAAUAGAGAUGAACUAUUUACAAAUAAAACUGUGUGCCAAAGACAAUGUUUUGACAAACAAAAAGCUGCUGGUUGAAAUAAGAAAAACAAAAAGCUGUUGGCUGAUAAAUAGCUGAGAUGUUGUCUCUCCAAGCAUCUGAAUAGAAAUGAAUAAACCCUGCCUACUUCUCCCUUUUAAUAGUGUCUGGUGAAAAAUACCAAUGAAUUUCUUAAUUUUCCAAUUUUAUUUUGUGCUCUUUUUAGGGUUAGGGUUAAAGGGAAAGGAAACUUAACUUCAUAUGGAAAGGAAACUUAACUUCAAAGGAAACUUAACUUCAAAUUUAAACUUUUCUUAAAACAAAAUGCUGAUUGUUUUAAUAAAAAUUAAAAUAAAAUGUAUUUCCAACUGUUUUUAAAUGGUUUUAAAUAUUUUUAAAUGUUUUUUAAGUUUUAAUCUAGUUUUUAAAUGUUUUUAGAUUUUUUUGUUAUUUUUUAAACUUUUUUUCUCUAAAUAAACUAUGUACAAUCAAAUAUGUGUGCCCACGACAACGUUUCGACCCCUUGUGGGUCUUCUUCAGGUCUGGCACACCUCACUCAACAAAAAAACUCUCUCUUGAAUGAAAAACAAAAGAUGCUGGCUGGUAAUUCUAAAGAUGUUCUCUCUUCAAGCUUCUGAGUGGAAAUGAAAGCCCUACCAACUUUUCUCCCUUUUUAUACCCUCAGACAAUAAUUAGAGUGAAUUUACUUAUAUUUAAGUUAUUUUCUGCUCUAUUUAGUUUUUGAAAUGUUAACCCUUUCUGCACCGUUUGUGCUUUUAAUCCAUAUUAAUUAUGUUUAUUCACAUAUUUGUGCUUUAAUAAACAUAUUAAUAGGUAUUUUUUAAUCCCAAGAUUAGGGUUACGGUCCUGCUUGACCUUUGACCUCUGUGGCCUGCUUGGCCGUUGGUCAUUAAGUUGCCUCUAAUGGUUAGGGUUAGGGUUAGGGGUUAGGGUUAGGGUUAAGGUUAGGAGGCUCCCACUUCUCCUAUGUGUCCUGAAGAGCAAACAUCUCACAGACAUACUCAGACAAGUCCGGACAUGUUUCUUUUUGUGCCCAUAGCCUGAAGAAGACCCACAGCGGUCGAAACGUUGCAACUGGGCACUCUUUAUCACACCUUUUCUUUAUUUCUUCCUCCUCAUAGGCAUUUUAUUUGGUUUUCUUUCUUUUAUUUCAUUUUGAUUUCAGAAAACAACAAAAAAAGCAUAAAAAAAUUAAAGAACAAUUCAUUUUUUAUAUACAGUUUUUGUUUUAAAUAUUUUUUCAUUUCAUUAGAUUAAUAAAUAGAUAGAUAAAUACACAAAUAAAUAAAUACAUAGUUUAAUAAAUACAGUACAUUAAUAAAUAGUAAUAAAUAAUUAAAAAGAUUAAAAACAAUCAUGAAUUAUGAGCAACAAGACUGGACUGAAGUGCGGUACGGGAAAAGGCGUGGUCGACGCCCGUACCGCACUAAUAAUCAGCAAUACCAAACGGGGUCGUGGGGGACGGGGAACAGGGGGAUGGACCGUGCACCUCCUGUCUCCUAUCCUGGUUGAAGUCCGUAACCUUUAUGAGACAGAUAUCAUUGUGUGAGGACAGCAGGAUGUUCUCUGGCUUCAGGUCUCGGUGGAUUAUUCCAUUGGUGUGGAGGUACUGGACGGCUCUCAGCAUCUGGUAAAAGUAAAGUUUGGCGAUUGACUCCUUCAGCUGCCCCUGGGACUUCACUUUUUGGAAAAGUUCUCCUCCUUCCAUGAGCUCCAAGACAAUGUAGUAGCUGUCCUCUGUCUGAUAGAAGUCUUCUGUCUUUGUGAGGCAAGGAUGGUUCACUCGCUGCAGAAUUUCAAUCUCUGUCUCCGCAUUUCGCGUUGCUGUCCCUUCAGACUGAAAAUUCUUCUUGUUUAUUAUUUUCACUGCAAAUUUUUUGCAGGUGGAUCUCUCGAAGGCUAGUUUUACUUCACCACACACCCCUGUGCCAACCUGCCGAGUCAGUACGUAUUUUCUUUGCAACUCCUGCGGGAGAGCUGACUGACUGUCAGACAUCAGAUCGAUGAAGACAAAGACUUUGUUGCUUUGCUCAGACAGAGCGAGCACAGCGUUGUUGACGAGAGGGUUAGGUUUGGGAAAGAAUCCCGUCUCCCCUAGAAUGACCCUACUUGGGUCUGCGGGGAGCGGGGAAUGCACGGGCCUUCGCCCACUGGACACGCUCCCCCGGUCCCCCAGGAAACACGACUUGUGCUUAAUAAAUGUUGUUGUUGACUUGGUUUUAAUGUGUUGUGUUAUUGUUUUUAAAUAUUUUCCAAUUUUUUAGGAUUUUUGUUUUUGUUUUUAAAUAUUUUCCAUUUUUUUUAGGAUUUUUUUGUUUUUAUACACAACACACAAACAAACAAACAAACAAACAAACAAUACAUGAUCACACAUGAACUAUGUACAUACAUUGUGCGCGUCGACGACGUUUCGACCCUACUUGGGUCUUCAUCAGGUCAUGCGCACAAAAAAAAAAAAAUGGCUGCUGGGCCCCAAUUCAUAGGGGUUACCCCAGCAGGCAGCCAAAUAAAAAUGAAAUUAUCCCUGUUCCCCUCUCCCUUUUAUACCCUUGGAGAAAUAAUUUACUGAAUUUUCUUGGAUAAUUUGUGUUAUUUUGUACUCUAUUUAGUUUCUGAAUGUUAACCCUUUAAACGCUGAUUGUUUUUUAAUGCAUGAUAUAUUUAUCUUAUGUUAACCCUUUAAACACUGAUUGUUUUUUAAUGCAUGAUAUAUUUAUCUUAAUCCUGAGGUUAGGUUUCAAGUGACCCCUAGGGUUAGGGUUAGGGUCAGUAUUAGGGUUAGGGUUAGGGUUAGGGUUAGGGUUAGGGGUUAGGGUUAGGGUUAGGGUUAGGGGUUAGGGUUAGGGUUAGGGUUAGGGUUAGGGUAAGGGUUAGGGUUAGGGUUAGGGGUUAGGGUUAGGGUUAGGGUUAGGGUUAGGGGUUAGGGUUAGGGUUAGGGGGUUAGGGUUAGGGUUAGGGUUAGGGUUAGGGGGUUAGGGUUAGGGUUAGGGUUAGGGU